rnacentral:rRNA from 1 species
AGAGUUUGAUCAUGGCUCAGGAUGAACGCUGGCGGCGUGCCUAACACAUGCAAGUCGAGCGAAGCACUUUACUUUGAGAUCUUCGGAAGGAUAAGUUUUGUGACUGAGCGGCGGACGGGUGAGUAACGCGUGGGUAACCUGCCUCACACAGGGGGAUAACAGUUAGAAAUGACUGCUAAUACCGCAUAAGCGCACAGGGCCGCAUGGCCCGG